GUGGGGAAUAUUGGACAAUGGGCGAAAGCCUGAUCCAGCAAUGCCGCGUGAGUGAUGAAGGCCUUAGGGUUGUAAAGCUCUUUUACCCGGGAAGAUAAUGACUGUACCGGGAGAAUAAGCCCCGGCUAACUCCGUGCCAGCAGCCGCGGUAAUACGGAGGGGGCUAGCGUUGUUCGGAAUUACUGGGCGUAAAGCGCACGUAGGCGGUUUUGUAAGUUAGAGGUGAAAGCCUGGGGCUCAACCCCAGAAUUGCCUUUAAGACUGCAUCACUUGAACGUCGGAGAGGUGAGUGGAAUUCCGAGUGUAGAGGUGAAAUUCGUAGAUAUUCGGAGGAACACCAGUGGCGAAGGCGGCUCACUGGCUCGAUACUGACGCUGAGGUGCGAAAGCGUGGGGAGCAAACAGGAUUAGAUACCCGAGUAGUCC
rnacentral:rRNA from 1 species